GCAUGGUGAUAGUGUGACAAGGCUUUGGUAGAGGAGGUUGUUGUGUUAGUAUUGCCAUGGGUAGUGUUAUGAGCCUGGUGAUAGUGUGACAAGGCUUUGGUAGAGGAGGUUGUUGUGUUAGUAUUGCCAUGGGUAGUGUUAUGAGCCUGGUGAUAGUGUGACAAGGCUUUGGUAGAGGAGGUUGUUGUGUUAGUAUUGCCAUGGGUAGUGUUAUGAGCCUGGUGAUAGUGUGACAAGGCUUUGGUAGAGGAGGUUGUUGUGUUAGUAUUGCCAUGGGUAGUGUUAUGAGCCUGGUGAUAGUGUGACAAGGCUUUGGUG